AGGAAACUCUGAUGCAGCGACGCCGCGUGAGUGAAGAAGGCCUUCGGGUUGUAAAGCUCUUUCGGACGGAAAGAAAACGGAUGGGUUAAUACCCUGUUCGGAUGACGGUACCGUCAUAAGAAGCACCGGCUAACUACGUGCCAGCAGCCGCGGUAAUACGUAGGGGACAAGCGUUGUCCGGAUUUACUGGGCGUAAAGGGCACGCAGGCGGUUUUUUAAGUCAGAUGUGAAAGGUACCGGCUCAACCGGUGACAUGCAUUUGAAACUGAAAGACUUGAGUAUUGGAGAGGCAAGUGGAAUUCCUAGUGUAGCGGUGAAAUGCGUAGAUAUUAGGAGGAACACCGGUGGCGAAGGCGGCUUGCUGGACAAAUACUGACGCUGAGGUGCGAAAGCGUGGGGAGCAAACA
rnacentral:rRNA from 1 species